UACGUAGGGUGCGAGCGUUGUCCGGAAUUAUUGGGCGUAAAGAGCUCGUAGGCGGCUUGUCACGUCUGAUGUGAAAGCUCGGGGCUUAACCCCGAGUCUGCAUUCGAUACGGGCUAGCUAGAGUGUGGUAGGGGAGAGCGGAAUUCCUGGUGUAGCGGUGAAAUGCGCAGAUAUCAGGAGGAACACCGGUGGCGAAGGCGGAUCUCUGGGCCAUUACUGACGCUGAGGAGCGAAAGCGUGGGGAGCGAACAGG
rnacentral:rRNA from 1 species